rnacentral:rRNA from 1 species
UACGUAGGGCGCGAGCGUUGUCCGGAAUCAUUGGGCGUAAAGAGCUCGUAGGCGGUUCAGUAAGUCAGGUGUGAAAUCUCCGCGCUCAACGCGGAGCGGCCACCUGAUACUGCUGUGACUCGAGUCCGGUAGGGGAGUGUGGAAUUCCCGGUGUAGCGGUGAAAUGCGCAGAUAUCGGGAGGAACACCAGUAGCGAAGGCGGCACUCUGGGCCGUGACGUGACGCUGAGGAGCGAAAAGCGUGGGUAGCAAACAGG